GGCUGGUCUGAGCUCCAGAAUCAGCAUCAGCAGCUAAAAGCCAGACGAGGGGAGCGAAGAGCAGCUGAAACCAGAGGCUGUAGUACCGAGCGAUCUCCGUCUUUAUGAAUCCUGACGACACAAGAAACCCUUCACAGAUAAUGAAAGCUUCAUGCAAACAUCAGACCAUUCAGUCGUCACUAACCAGGAUGGAGGCUGUAACAGGUGACGUCAGAGCCCUGCAGCCUCUUGGCGAGCUCGUAGGUGAACAGGACGUUGCACAGUUUGCUGUGGCAGUACUUCGCGAGGAGCUGCAUGUUGCUGUUGCCCAAACCCAACUCUUUGUGAGUCGUCAGGUAGUUAAAAUCCACUUUCCCCGACUCAUAGGCCUGGGAGGCGACAUUCACCACCCGGCUCGGCCCGCUGGCCUUCAGCCGGUCCAACAGCAGCAUCGUUAACAGGAAGGAACCCAGGUGGUUGACACCGAAGAUCAUCCCGAAGCCGUCCUCCGUCUUUCCGUCACUUAUUAGACCUGAAAACACCAGGAAAGAUGAACUUCAACUAGAACACAAAUUCAGUAACACAUAGAGUCCCCCAGAGAAGAUACACAUAUAAAUGAACGAAUUAAUAAACUGACCGGCGUUGUUGAUGAGGAGAUCCAACCUGGGCUCAGACUUCAGGAAGUUAUCGGCGAAGGAACGAACUGACUGCAGACUGGCCAGAUCCAGUUGCAUGAAGAUCACCUGCUGGUUUCCUGUUUCCUGAUCAGUGUUUUCAAACAAAGCACAUUUCAAUUACAUCUGUGUCCAACUUUAAGGAGUAAAAACAACAAUUUCCACGUUUGGGGUUAAUAUCACUUUGUGGAAACAGAAAAGACUGAAAUGUAAGAGGACCCAGUUUGGAGCCCUGAGGAACACCAAGAAGUUUUUUUGUAAUUAUUGAUGCCCCUACAACAAUACAACAUCUUUCAAAGAAAUAUUUUUAGGAAUUUAUGUCUUAUUUUAUCCUUCACAUUUCCAUAAAAAUGCAGAGCAAAGAAGAAAUGUAUUUUUUUCUCUACUUUGUUCCAAGUUGCUGAUUUAUUAGAUUCACGCUUACAAAGAAACAAAGACGUAAAAACACUUAAAGUUUCUGUUAAAAUAUGCAGUCAUACAGCUUGUAGUGUGUAGUGUUUCAGUUAAAUCCAAAUUUUCCAGUGUUUAGGAUUAACAUCACCUCGUGGUAACAUCUGUGAACAGAAAACAGAGAGGACCCAGCAUGGAGCCCUGAGGAACACCAGGAAGUGGUGCUCUAGUUAACGAUGCUCCAACAGCAAUACUGUCUCGUUUUAUUUUAUUUUUAACAAAGCUGAUUUUUAUUCACUUCAAUACCUUUCACAUUUCCAUAGAAGUGUAUUUUUCCUCCCAUUUGUUCCAAGUUGCUGAUUUAUUAGAUUCACUCUUACAAAGACAUAAAAACACUUACGGUUUCUGUUAAAACAUGCAGUCAUACAGCUGUUAAUAGUGUUUGUACUUGGUUCUAAGUGUUUCAGUUACAUCUGUGUCGAACUAUAACCAGUAAAAAGAUAUCCAGAGUUGUCAGAUUUUUAGAUGUUUGUGAUUACUACAACUUUAUGGUAACAUCUGUAGACUGAAAACAAAGAGGACCCAGUAUGGAGCCCUGAGGAAUACCAGGAAAUCCUGUUUCUUCACUGCCGCUGGCUCAGGUCAGAAACUCUGCUAGUCUUUACCUGGAUGAUUUCCUGGACAGCAGCUUCAGCUCUCCGUCUGUCCCGGCAGGCCAGGAUCACCUUGGCCCCCCUCCUGGCCAGGUCCAUGGCCGUGGUCUUACCGAUGCCGGUGUUUGCUCCUGGAAGACGCAACACAGUUUUACCUUCAGCCAGCUCUAGACUAAAACCCCUCAACAACUGCUUGAUGGAUUCACAUGAAACCUUAUAAAACAUUCAUGGUUCCCAGCAGAUAAAUCCUGCCAGUUGUGGUGGUUUCGUGUCUGUUUGUGGAGGUUUUGAGUCCCAUUGCUGUCAUUUUGUGUAUUUUUGAGGUUGUUUUUGUCUCUUUUUUGUCGUUUUGCAUCUUAGUGUUCAACUUUGUCUCUUUGUGUUGGAUUUCUGUCUAUUUGAGGUUGUUUCAUAUCUUUGGGAUAACUUUUUUGUCACUUCACAAUUGUUUUGUCUGUCUUUCUGUUCUUUUUUGUGUCCCUAAUGAUGUUUUGGGUUUUAAUUUUCUGGUUUUGUAUCUCUUUGUGGUCAUUUUGUGUCUCUUAGAUGUUGAUUUGAGUCCAUCUGUGAUCAUUUUCUGUCUGUGGUGCUCUGCUUCUAACCCCCUCAUGUCAUUCUGCAAGUUUCAUUAUCAGAAAACAAAGUCCAGCUGAUAGGAAUUCUGCAGGUAUGCAAGAGUUGGACAGAUAAAAACCUGAUGGUGGAAUAAAUGAGGGGUUAGAAGCAGAGUGAUCUAACCCACAAAACAUCCAAAUUGAGUUUUAUAUAAUUCCUGUAAUAUUUUAUGGUCUAGAUUUUAGUUUCAGAGUGGUCUGACCCACAACCCAAAUACAGCGUUACAGUGGAGCUUCCAAUGUGAGACCGUUCUGGAAAACACUAAACUUUGAACCCAUUUUCCUCCAAAACUACAGAAAAUGGGUCAGACCACUCUGCUUCUAACCAUUCUUGUCCAAGAUGCUUAAAAAUGAUCCAAAAUCAGUCAGAAUUUCAAUCACAUGAUUAAAAAUGGUCCAGAAUGACUGUAAAUUUACAGAAUGACACUAAAUUUGUUCAAGACGCUUUAAAAAUCAUCCAAAAUGACUCAUAGUUUGUCUAAAAUGAGUUGAAAAAGAUCCAAAAUUACAGAAAAUUUGUCCAGAAUUACACAAAAGUCGUCAGAAAUGACAAAAAUCUUCCCAAAUUGAUUUCAAAAUGUAUAAAAUGGCUCAGAAUUGGUCCAAAAUGACUUAAGUCUGUUCAUAAUGAACUGAGAAUUAUUAUAAAUGACUGAUUAGCAUCAUAGUUUGUAUAUUAGAGACAGAUGUGUCCUCUGGGUGUGAAAGUUAAACCUUUAACCUGUAUUCUAUCCAACAGCCAGCAGAGGACGACUCUUCUGGUCGUAAAAGGAAGUCUGAUCUUAUAAAAGAGGAUCUGUGAACGUUUUCCUCAUGAGUUUAUGGUUUCAGUUGCUAGUUUGAAGUCUCCUAUAAUAGAGAACAGUGUUUCUUUAGUGAAUGUUCGUCCCAUUUAUGGUAAAAAGGACGUUUCAGUCCAAAGCACUGACUCCACUCACACAUGUGGCUGCAAACUAUCUAAGGCGUCGUUCUCCAGCUGUGGACUCACCGGUGACGACGGCAGUUUUCCCAUGAAGCUUUGCUGCACUUUUACACCUGGGCAGCUUGAAAACAGUCAGACGCAGAAGGAAAAUCCCUCCGACUGCCAGAGCUCCACACAGCAGCAGUAGCAGCAUGAUGGAAACAGAGGAAGAGAAUCAGGACUGCGAGCUGCUCAGCUGUUCUCUGUUGUGUAACAGUUGGACGGUAUCAGCUGAUCCACGCCCUCCGGCUCCGAGCCAACGCUGCUCCCUGGAGAAAUAAACUGCAGCGAGUUUUAUUAUCAGCCCUGAGCAGACAGACAGGACGCUGGUGGACGCUGGGUCAAAGGUGGACAGAGCUGCAGCUUGCUGGUACCAAGUCCUGCUUAGUUUCCUGUCUGGUAAAAAUAAUCUCCUUUCCUAAGAUUAAGUCUGUCCAGUUUGUGUCGUUGCUAGUGUUCUUUGUAAUUCUGUCGGUUCAUGUGUCGUUUAUCCUCCAUCCUGUAGUUGUUUCCCCUUUACCAUUUACUUCCUGUUUAAUUUAUUGUAAGUAAAUUCAUUAUUGUUCAGUAUUCCAUUCUAUUUUGUCCUUUUGUCUCACUUUAUGGUCGUUCUGAAUUGUUGUUUGGCCAUUUUGUGUCUCUUUGAGGUCGUUUUGCAUCUCUUAGCUUUAGCAUUCCCUAAAAUCGCUCAACUACGAGCAGAGUUCAUCAAAUAUUGUCUUCUUGCACUGCCAGCAUCUGAGGAACUCAAUAUCCCACGGAUUUUUGUUAUUGGCGGCAUUGUUUGUCAAUAAUGUCAAUAAGAAAAUCUUAAGUGUUGGCAUGUUGUGCAACUACUUUGGCUAACGUUAGCAUUGAUCUGCCCACAGGUCAGAGCUCUGUCGAAACUUUAAACCAGCAAACAGGGACUGGGUGGGUUACUGUGUUGGUUAUUUGUGGGAUAUUUGAGACUUCCAGAAAUUUUCCAAAAUGGACACAAAAUGUGAUCUUUAAUGAAACCUUUCUCACAGAAGCCUUUGAAAAACCUUUUGAGUGUCCUAAUGAUGCACUCAGCUGCAACAAAAUAACAGACGGGUGGUUGGAAGAUAUUUUUAUUUGUAACAAAACAGUAGCCCUUCCAAACUUCUACUUUUUCCAUAUAGUUGUAGCUUAUAAACUUGCAGUGAUUCUGAGAACUGUGUUUGGUUGAUACUGAUGUUAGUUUGGGUUUGUGAGACUCUUGAUUCACAUGGAAACAACCUGUAGAAGCCAGCAUUAAUACUAUUUUUAACUUUUUAAGGGUUAAUGCAUUCAAAGACGCCCAAACUUUUCUGUUCAGGCCCUGUUGGCAGAGAUUAAAACCAAAGCUGUGGCUCCAGGUUUUAGGACAGACCACAGAACGUCUGGCUGAGUUCCCACAGCUUCCUGGAGGUGGCGUCAUCCCUGGCUUUCGGCUCGAUGCUGAUCAGCGGGGCACACUGGGUGAAGUAGUGUCCGCUGAGGUGUUCGAUGCCUGACUCCAGGGCACAGUGGAGGCUGGUCUGAGCUCCAGAAUCGGCAUCCACAAAGAAGAGGAAGACCAGGGGCUUGAUGAGGAGCGUCCACCAAAAGCUAGAGUGUCUAAAUAUCUCCGUCGUUAUGGCUCCUGGACAGAAAAGAGGAAAUGUUUAACUGACAGAAUGUGUAGUUUACAGGCAGGAAGGCAGCUCUUUGUGGUGGUUUUGUGUUUCUUGCUGGUCAGUUUUGCCAUUUUCACCAGCCUCUAUACCCCUUGUGAUGCCAGUGUCUCCCACCACUACCCACCAUGUCAAUCUUCAGGUUCAACUUCUGCAUACAAGAUGCUAGUUUCACGUGCCUCCAUCCCCCUACAUCAGCAAUCUUGUGGUCAAACUUCUGGCACCGGGAUGCCAGUUUCUGUUAGCUCUUUCCCAUCUCUUUAUCAAUAUCCUGUUAUUUGACAAGUAGGCAGCGGGGGCUCUAGUGGUAAGGGCUUUGGGCUGCUGAUCAUUUUGUUGUGCAGUUGAAUGAAAUUUAAAUCUUUUUCUAUUUUCCCCCUAUUUAUGGCAAAGGGGUGUCAUUUUUUCUCAUCUUCCUCAUCUUCAUACCCUACUUCAAGAGCUGUCUGCUUCUAGUUUUGGCACCAGGAAGCCAGUUCGCCUCACCUCUAUCCACACAGUAACAACCUUCUCAUCCUACUUCUGGUACCGAGAUGCCAGUUUCCCUAACUUCUAUAUCAUUUGUCAACAAUCUUCUGCUUACAUUUCUGGUACCAGGAUGCUAGGUUCUCUUACCUCUACCACCAUACUUCAUCAUUCUUAUCUUAUUUAUGGCACAAGGAUGCCCUUUACUCUCACCUUCAAUCUCAACAUCAAUAAUUGUCUGCUUCUGGUUCUGGCACCUGGAUGCCAGUUUCUUUCACCUUCAUACCCAACUUCAACAGCUGUCUUCUUCUAGUUCUGGCACCAGGAUGCCAGUUCGUCUCACCUCUAUCCCCACACUAACAGCCUUCUGAUCUUACUUCUGGCACCAAGAUGCCAGUUUCCUUAACUUUUAUAUCAUUUGUCAGCAAUCUUCUGUUUACAUUUCUGGUACCGGGAUGCUAGGUUCUAUUACCUCUACCACCACACUUCAUCAAUUGUGUCUCUUUACUCUCACCUUGAUACCCCACUUCAAUAGCUAUCUGGUUCUGGCACCUAGAUGUCAAGUCAUCUCACCUCAAUCCCCCACACUGACAAUCACCUACUUUUAUUUCUGGUACUGGGAUGCCAGGACCACUUGCCUCUAUAACCACACUUCAUUAAUCUUCUGAUAUCUGGCACCAGGAUAACAGUUUCUUUCACUUUCAUAUCCAACUUCUAGUUCAGGCACCAGGAUCCCAGUUCGUCUCACCUCUACCCCUCACAUAAACAAUGUUCUGUUAUCAUUCUGGCAGCGGGAUGCCAUUUUUCAGUUUUUUGGGUGGUAAGGUAGUGGAACUGGAAUGAUGUCCCCUUCCUGUACCACAACCAAAUCUGAACUUCGCUAGCUUCUUUCUAUGACCUUACCAAAUUUGAUCCAUUUUACUACCCUAAUGUGUUGUUUUGCCCCUACUUCAGGUUGUUUUGUCUCUUCGACUUAGUUUUAUGACUCUUUGUGAUUAUGUUGCAUCUCUUUGAGAUUGUCUGUGCCUCUGAAAUGCUUUUGUUUCAAUUUGUGGUUGUUUUUUGGCUCUUUUUUUGCUAUUUUGCUUCUCUUAAAGGUUUUUAUUUUGUCCCUUUGUGGUUAUUUUUAGCCUUUUGGUCUUUGUGGUCAUUUUGCAUCAUUUUAAGGUCAGUUGUCAAAUUGUUAGACAACUAAUAAGUACAUGUUGUGUUUCAUAUCUUGGGAUUUUCCCUGCAUUGACUUUCAAAGCAAAGAUGGAUGUAGAUGAUGAAAGCUACAUGCAAACAUCAGACCAUUCAGUCGUCACUAACCAGGAU